rnacentral:lncRNA from 1 species
GUCUUGGAUUACAUACACGGAACUCAGUUCCUAAGGACGGUUCCAAUGAAACAACCCGCCAUGUACUCCUACAUAGCCUUUCACCGGUACCUUUACCAAAUCAGGUUCAACCACACAACCUUUACUUACUGAACACAUUCUCACAAUUCUGUUUAUCACCCAGAUGACAGACCAUACACAACUCUAAGCAUAGCAUGCAUAGCAGGAUAAGGCACAUCACGGCUCAAGCAUCUACCAGGUAUGCUAGGUUGCACGGUUCAGCUAUUUACUGUGACAAGGACAAGUCAUGCAAGGAAGUGGUUCAACUAGAGUGGUAAAAGCAUUGAAAGCAUUUUCCCUAAUGCAAGAAAUAAGAGCAGGAGCGAGAACAUGGGAUUUAUCGGGAUGAUCAAAAUGGUUGCUUGCCUUGUUGCUCAACAGAGGGACAAUAUCCGUCAGUCGGAUAUUCGGUGGAAUCCGGAGGAGCGGGGCCUACCGGUAAAACAAUAUCAAUCAAUAACAAUCAUAUGCAACAAGAUGAUGCAUGAGCAUGUCAUGAAAAUGAAAGGUGGUAGGCUAAUGUAGCUACCAUUUCUUAAGUUGAAGUUGAUUUGAAUCAAGAUUCAAAUAUCACUUCAAACAAUGUAUUUUUCUAAAACCCUUUUAAUUGAUUCGACUUGAUGCUGAGAUAAUCUUGUUUUAGCAUGCAUGAUGAUGGUAUGUUGGGCUGCUGGUUGUGCUUGAUCAUGGUUUGGUCAUAAUAUCUGAAGUGGAUCUCAAAUGGAUUUCAAAUUCCAACUCCAAAUUAUUUAAUAAGGUUAUCCUAUUCAUCAUUUUAUUUGUUUGGUGAUGUUAACAUUUUCAAACAUAAUUUAAAAUAACAAACUCAGAUUCCUUGGAUUUUUCUGAUCCUUUUUCAUAUAUAAAUUAUUUUCAUUGGAGUUACAGAUUAAUUUCUAUGAUUUUUAGAAGUUUUGGACACUUUUUAGAAUUAUUUUAAAACAGAAAUUCUCUUUAUUGCGUCAUAACUACGUGAGCACUGUGUUAGCAAGUCAGCCGACCUGGUCAGGUCAAACCUGACAGGUGGGGGCCACUGGUGAGCGACAGAGGAGAUAAUCCCGUGCUGACCAGCCCCUAAGUGGGUUUGACCCACUGCUAGGGCCCACUAUCAGUGACUAAUUAGUGCUAAACAACAGGGAUUAGGCUGGCCACGUCGUCCCCCUGUCGGAGACUGACCGGGGACGACCAGAUCCGCGGCAGAUCUUCGUUGGAGAUGCACCACAGCUUGCUGUGGUGCUCGGAAUCGAGUGCCGAGAGCACUGCGAUGAUCCCCACGCUCGGCCUUAUCCACUACGGGCAUCAGGAGGGGCUGAGGGUGGCCGGAGGAUGCCGGCGACGAGCCGAGGCGGCUGCCGGAGCUCGGGCUUGUCGGUCCCGUGGCUAGAGUGCAGGAGAACGAGGGGAAACAAGGGGGAAAUGCUCGUGAGCUCACGGCUUAGAUGGCUCGGGGAGGUGCUGUAGCCGGCGAUCCAACGUCGAUUUGCCGGCGACCGGAGGUUGAAGACGACGGCAAUGGGGCAUUGCUGAGGUGAGGGAGGCCGAUUCCUUUGGCAUGCGCGUCGAGCUCGAUGAGGCGGAGAGGAUGGAGCACUCGGGGAGGCUUCUCUGUGGCCAGAGAGCUUGGGCUCCUCGAGCUCAAGCUCCUGCUAAUGGUGGCAGGGAGAGGAGAGAAGAAAACCGAGAGGAGGGGAAGAAUGGAGAGCGGGGAAGGAUAAGGACUCGUUCGAGGAAGUCAUUCCCGACGUCGUGCUGUACUCGGGGCACCGGGGAGCGCCACGGCGAAGCAGGAGGUGGAGGGGGUCACCGUGGUCGAUCUCUCCUCUACCAGAAGGCAGACGAAGAAGACGACCCUGCCCCUGGUGGGCCGGGCCUUGCAGGUAAGCGUAGGAUAGGUUUUUUCCUUUUCUUCUGUUUCUGUUUUCUAUUUUAUUUGCUGAUAUUAUUAGCUAUUUAUUUUGGCUUCAAAAAGAAAUUCAAAAAUUAGUUUGAAUAGCCCUGAGUGUUAGUUGGAAUAUUUCCAACUAGUCCUGAGGCUUGCAACAUUUUUGAAGACUUGAAUAUUUUUGAAUUCAAAUAUAAGGUUGAAUUCAGGGGCUUUCUGAAUUUAAAUAAAAUGCCAAAAGUGAUUUGAAAAUAGAUUUCACCCGUGAUAACUUAUUUUCAAUAUUUAUCAGAAAAGGUGAACUUUUAAGAAGGCCAUUUUGGGUUCAUUGAUUUUGGCAAGAUUUGAAUUUCCUUUGAAUAAGAAGUGGCUAGGGUUUUUGGUUUGAGUUUCACCACUUCCUUUGAUUUUGUUUCAACUUCUUGAAUGCAACGUAAGAAGACAUGAGCACAAAUACUAAACCCUAGUUAGGGAUCCAGGGAUGUGACAACUCACCCCCACUCAAAAGAAUCUCGUCCCGAGAUUUGGAAGUCGUCGGGAAUAGCGCGGGAUACUCAAGUCAAAGACGAUCCUCCCUUUCCCAUGUUGCCUCCUUUUCGGAAUGACAUGACCAUUGAACUUUAAGAAACUUGAGGUUUCGACGUCAAGUGGUAUGCUCAGCUUAAUCAAGAAUACGCACAUGGUAUUCUCGGUAUGAAAGGUUAUCUUGGAGAUCAAGCGUUUCGUGGUCCACUUCACGGAUAGGAUCCGAAAAGCAACGCCUGAGUUGCGAGACGUGGAAAACAUCAUGAACCUUGGAAAGAUGUGGAGGAAGUUCCAACUGGUAGGCAAGUUCUCCUCGUUUGGCAAGAAUGCGAAAAGGACCAAUGUAACGAGGAGCCAACUUGCCCUUGAUACCGAAUUGAUGGGUACCCUUCAAAGGUGUAACCCGAAGGUAAGCCUUCUCGUCAACUUCAAAGGUCACAACCUUAUGAUGACGAUCAUAUUGGCUCUUUUGACGAGACAGGGCUGUUUUCAACUUUUCACGAAUAAUGUGAACCUGCUCUUCUGCAUCAUGGAUCAUAUCUGGGCGAAAGAGUUGCCUCUCUCCGGUUUCUGACCAAUUAAGAGGUGUUCGACAUCCUCGUCCAUAGAGAACUUCAAAAGGAGCUUUGCCCAAGCUUGAUUGAUAACUAUUAUUAUAAGCAAAUUCAACGAAUGGAAGGCACUUCUCCCAAUUCAUACCGAACGAUAUAACACAAGCUCGGAGCAUAUCUUCUAGGACUUGAUUCACUCUUUCUACUUGACCACUUGAUUGAGGAUGGAAAGCACUGCUAAAAGAUAAGUGAGUCCCCAUAGCAUUCUGAAAACUCUCCCUGAUGCGAGAAGUAAAGAUACUUCCAUGGUCUGAGUUAAUCUCCAUAGGAACACCAUGAAGAGACACUAUUCGAGAGAUAUAUAACUCUGCUAGCUGGCUAGCUGUUAUACUCUCACGAACUGGAAGAAAAUGAGCUACUUUGGAGAGACGGUCAAUGACCACAAAGAUAGCAUUAUUUCCUUUUUGGUCUUGGGAAAUCCGGUGAUGAAAUCCAUACUGACUUUAUCCCAUUUCCAUUCAGGAAUAGCUAAGGGUUGAAGGGUGCCAGCAGGCCUUUGAUGUUCUGCCUUAACUCGACGACAGACGUCGCUGUUAGCAACAAACUCAGCAAUUUCUCUCUUCAUCCUAGUCCACCAAAACCUCUGGUGUAGGUCGUGAUACAUCUUAGUACUACCAGGAUGAAUGGUGAGAGGAGAAUCAUGAGCCUCCUUAAGUAUCAAUUGCCGCAUACGUUUCCUCUUAAGAACCACUAAACGGUUCUGAAAGAACACAACACCUUGCUCAUUGAUGGAGAAUUCCCUAGCAUUUCCGCUAGCAAUAUUCUCCUUGAUCCGGGAUAUACGCUUAUCGUAUGCCUGCACGGCUAUGAUUUGAUCCCUAAGAGUAGGCUUUGCCACCAGGGUAGAAAGGAAUCCUUGAGGAACAAUAUGAAGAUUUAACUUCCGAAAUUCCUCAUAGAGACGUGGUUGACCUCGUUGUAGCAUCAAAUUGUUACAAUAAGACUUACGACUUAGUGCAUCAGCCAUAACAUUGGCCUUCCCCGGGGUGUAAGUUAUUCCUAAGUUGUAAUCCGUGAUCAACUCAACCCACCAUCUUUGCCUGAGAUUCAAAUCCGGCCGAGUGAAGAUAUAUUUUAGACUUUGGUGAUCAGUGAAUAUUUCGCAACGAUUACCAAGAAGGUAAUGUCGCCAGGUUUUAAGUGCAUGGACUACAGCUGCAAGCUCAAGAUCAUGUGUGGGAUACUUAUCCUCAUGUGGACGCAACUGUCGAGAUGCGUAUGCAAUCACAUGAUGAUCUUGCAAGAGAAUGCAACCUAAUCCUUGUCGCGAGGCGUCACAGUAGAUAACAAAGUCCUUAUAGAAAUCUGGUGGUAGCAACAUAGGUGCUGAAGUCAGGCUUCUUUUCAGUUCCUGAAAACUAUGCUCACACUAUGGUGUCCACUCGAACUUUUUAUCUUUCUUGAGGAGUUCAGUUAGAGGCUUUGCAACCUUGGAGAAAUUAUCGACAAACCGGCGACAAUAGCUCGCUAGACCAAGAAAACUCCUAACUUGCUUACCGAUUCAGGUUGAGUCCAGUCAAGGACAGCUUGAACUCUCUCGGGAUUGACAGCAAUACCCUUACCAGAGAUUACGUGACCUAGAUAGGUCACUUCUGGUACCCAAAAUUUACAUUUUGAAAACUUGGCAUAACGGCGAUGCUCUUGAAGUUUCAUCAAUACCAGCCUUAGAUGCUCGGCAUGUUCUUGUUCGUUCUUCGAGUAGAUGAGAAUAUCGUCGAGGUAUACUACGACGAAUUUAUCCAAAUACUCCAUGAAGAUUGAAUGCAUCAAGCGAGAGAAGGUGGCUGGGGCAUUGGUUAAACCGAAGGACAUGACGGUGUACUCGUAUUGGCAAUAACGAGUGACAAAAGCCGUUUUUGGAAUGUCCCCGUUCUUGAUCUUGAUUUGAUGGUAUCCCAACCUCAAAUCCAUUUUUGAGAAGAUUGAGGAUCCAGCGAGCUGAUCAUACAGAUCUUUGAUCCUCGGGAGCGGAUAUUUGUCCUUUAUGGUGACCAGAUUAACAGGUCGGUAAUCUAUAAUCAUCCGAUCCGUUCCGUCUUUCUUCUUGACGAAGAGGACGGGACAAACCCAAGGAGAAGAGCUAGGACGAAUGAUACCUUUAUUCAAGGCCUCAUCUAGUUGCUUCUUAAGUUCGCCUAGCUCCAGGGGUGCCAUCUUAUAAGGUCUUCUGGCUAUUGGAAGAGUUCCCGGAACAAGAUCUAUCACAAACUCUAUAUCUCUAUCAGGUGGAAUUCCUGGCACUUCCUCUGGAAAAACAUCCGAGAAGUCACGGACUACCGGAAUGUCUUCAAGUUAUGGAAGAGGGUUGGCAUUAAGGGAAUAGAGUUGGCAUUUGGCAACUCGAGUAGAGACAUUGACUAUCUCACCCAAGGGAUGGGUAAGCUGAACAUUUCUAGAAUGACUAUCAAUCUUGGCAUAGUGAGCUGACAUCCAGUCCAUACCCAAGAUGAUAUUGAUAUCCGAAGAUUUCAAGGCUAUCAAAGAUGCUAGAAAAACUAGUCUGUCUACUAGAAUUUCAUUGUCAUAGGUUAUCCUGGAGGUUUUCCACUUACUACUAGGGGUUUGGACAACCAACGGGAUUGGCAUAUAACAAAAAGAUAUGUUAUGCAACUGUGAAUAACUUUCUGAAAUGAAGGAAUGAGAAGACCCAGUGUCAAAAAGAACAGACGUUGGGUGAUGAUUAACAAGGAGCGUACCUAGUAUGACGUCGGGAUCCUUUGCAGCUUCUUCUGCUGAAACAUAGUUCACACGGGCACGUGUAGGAGUUGGCUUCACAUAAUAAGCUUUGCCUGACUUGCCUUGCCCAACGGACUUUCUGGGUUGCUUGGCACCCACAUUCUGAGGACAGUCUCGGGAGUAGUGCCCUGGUUCUCCACACUUGUAAGAAAUCACCUGAUUGGCACGUGGUGCAGCAUUGCUCGCUGGACCACCAUAGAUUUUUGCUGGGGGGUUGGUCUGAUUCGUCUGAGGCGCCCCAUAGGAUGGCCUCGGAGUAUAUCUUGGCGACAGAGAACUAUUUGGAACCCACAACCUGUGUUUUGGGAACGCGGAACCAGAUGACGAGCCAAAGUCACGGGAGUGCUUCUUUGUAGCUUCGUAGUCAGUAUGACCAGUCUCGACACUGAUCGCCUUUUUGACCAGGGCUUGGAAGCUUGUACAUUCGUGGAGGCGCAAAUCACGACAAAGCUCAGGGCUCAGACCCUUACGAAAUCUUGCUUGCUUCUUGGCAUCAGUAGACACCUCCUCUGUUGCAUAGCGGGCGAGGUUACCGAACUCGCGGCUAUAUGCAUCCACGGUCAACUUUCCCUGGGUGAAUGCACAGAAACCCUCUCUCUUUCUGUCCAUCAGGCCCUCUGGAAUAUCGUGCAGACGGAAGGCUGCACUAAAGUCUGCCCAUGUGGCUGCUGGUUCAGCAGGACGCAUAGCUUCAAAGUUCUCCCACCACAUAUUGGCUGGUCCUUCCAGAAAGUAUGCCACAAAGGUCACCUUGUCGGCCUCAGAAACAUUCGUAGAGCGAAUCUUGCGUGAUAUACUACACAACCAAUCAUCAGCGUCGAGGGGAUCGACGGAGUGAUGGAACUUUGGAGGAUUUAGCUUCACAAAGUCAUUGAGGGACACUGCAUCGUUCCUAGGCUGAUGAGCCAGAUUUUGCUCAAUACGCUCUAACAGACGGUUGGUCUCCCUUUUGUUUCUCUCUGCCUCAAGCAUAACUUCCGCCAGAGAGGGCGGGUGAGGUAGUUCCUCCUACGACGCUUGACUACCAUCGCCUUGCUCAUGAUCAGGGGCACGGUUCAACCUGGUGAACACCAUCCUGACAAACAAACUCAUAGCUUAGACCAAUAUCAUUAUCAAUACUAACUAUGGAUUAAGAAUGCACUAAACACAUGGAAUGCGGAAAUGAAUAUCCGAACAACAUGGUAAAAAGCAACUGCUAUAUAUACACCAUGGUUCAUACACACCAUUACAUAGUUCAGUACAACCUUAAACAAAGAGCAAACUACUGAAAACAUGAAACUACUCAUCAGAGGCUUCCAAGCUUCCUAUACAUUAUUUAUCUAUGCCUCCGGAAUUCAUCUCACGACACAACAUACUCCACAAGACACACAUGACCGUGGAAGUACAACUACUACCAUACUAUCCUUCCACUCGCGGUUCAGGCAUCCGCAUAGAACAUCUCAUAAAGAUUGCCUCCAUGGCCUGGAAGCUCAACAUGCGGAUCAGGAAAUACGCCAGCCUGAGACCCCUGGGAUCCAUAAGGACACGGGUGUGGCCUUGGUCCCCUGACUGGUGGUAGUAGAGGUCCCCGAAGAGGGGUGACUGCUCCUAUAGCAGGCCAGUCAACAUGAGCCAGAAGAUGGGUCCUAACAAGGUUCAGCCUCUCCAUAUCUCCAUAUCAUGUCUGGACUACAGGUGUCAGCUGCGUCAAAGCCGUCCACAGACGGGCACGUGUAGCAUAGAGCUCCAUACGAAGGGCACGAGCAUCCCAGUCUCUAUUCUCUAGCAUCACAUCAGUGGACUGCAGCAGCGGAUCCUCCAUAAAGGGAUCAAAGUAGACCCCACUGGGGUAUCCGUCUUCACCUAGCUGAGAGGCAGGAACAUAGCAGAACUCUGAAUUCUGCAGCAGUGCAUGUUUAGCCCUCAUGAUGGUCAGCAUUGAAUAGGCAGCAUCUUGUAGUGCCAUGUCAAUAGUGACCCCCAAUCCAUAAGACCAAUGGAUCGGCUCCUCAGCUCCAGGGUAAUCUAGGAAUACCCUAAUAGUGCAGAGGUACCGACUCUGAUUAAAAUCCCGGUAGUGCUCCUCCACUGUGUACUCUGGGUACCAGCGGUAACCGGACACUAACAUCAUCCUGACUAGCAUGGCAGUAUGACCUGGCACAUCAAUGCACCUAGGCAGACGAACCACCUGACGAGAAGGACGGCCAGGCAUCUGAAAAUAGAGAGUAAUGCAAAAGCAUUAGAGCUCUGAAGGCAAAAUUGGGUAGCAUAACGGCUGUAAAUGCUCAAAAACAAUUUUGAGACAACCCAUAAAAAUAAGAUAGCGUAACCACUCAACUAUCAAGUUCAAUUCACUGGUCAUCAAAACUUACUUCCUUUUCCUUGGGAUAAAAGAAACCCGAAGUACUCUCGACCCGUUGUCCUAUAACCUACCGAUCAGAAACACGAGCCUAAGAGAAGAUAAGUAACCUAGUCCUUAAUCCCCGCAGAAAAGACGAGGAUGACCAGAAUAGAAUAUAUUGAGAAGAGAAGCAAGAGUCUUACGUUCCCUUCCACAAACAAUUCCCUUAUAUAUAACUAAAGCAAUUCUAGACUCAACUUCGACUAGUUUGGCUUAGUAAUCCUACAGUCAGUCAGGCUCUGAUACCAAUGCUGUCGGGACCCCGAUCCUAAGCCAUAGGAAUCCAGCAUGUAACACAUCGCAUCUCUUUGCGGUUUCACGCACGGUUAUCCCCACGGCUGAAGCCUUACCUUAGCCGGGACCGUUUGCGCCUUUUGACUCGCGUAUGCAAUUGUGUCACUAGCAAUCCAAUGACAAAGAACCCGGAUCGACAUGUCUAGUCAUAAACCAAAGCGGCAGUUCCACACAGGGACAGGCAUACAUGACCCACCAAAGCAGGUGUCGAUGACCAGCGAAUGUAGACGAGUCGUAGCAAGCUACAAGGACUCCAUUACAUCGCGUGACAUUUCCCCAAAGGACAGAUACCGUAGCUAAGAAGGACACAUGCCGGUCAACCAAUGUGUCCGGAGCAGUAGUGAACUACCAUGGCUCACUGGAAUCACAAAGGGGCAUUUCCCUGUAAGGAGUGCUACUAAAGCCUACUGCUAGGUAUUCGAACCCCAUACAUAUCAAGUACAACACACAUACGCAUGGCAUACCGAUAUGUAUCGAUACAUCGAUGGCAUCACAACAUAACCAUAAACAUACAAACUUUAUUUAGAAGGCUCGGAAGAGCUACACACAUAAUAUUACAAGGUAGGGGUCUCACGACCCAUCAUCACAAGUCAUACACACAACUCUUACAAGCCAGCGGAAGAUUUAAAACUGUCUGAGUACAGACAGAGGGAAAGAUAAAGGCACAUGGCCUGACUAUCUACAGACCCAUCCUAGGGCCAGAUCGUAGCUGGGAUACCAGCUACUCGUCGUCGUCGAUGUCUAGGUAGAACCCUCCAUUAGGGUCAUUAACAACCUCUGCAACAAUUUAUUAAGAAAACGUGAGUACAAAAGUACUCAACAAGACUUUAGGAUAAACUAUCUACUCAUGCAAUGUAUCAAUAAGGAAUUGUGGGCUUUCAUGCGGAAAGCCAGCAUUUGACUCGUGGCUAGACAACUUGCAUUUUAAAUAGUUUUGACAACUUUGAUUUCUCGCACACGAGUCCACUAACACCACAACAAUACUCCAUCGUGGAAUCAUUUCGUCUCCAUACGAAAAUGGCAUCCACGACACUCACGCUUAUCUUGACAAUUUUAUGAGUAGCCAUUAUAGUUAUCUAUGAACAACAUAUGUUUCCAAGCAGUCCAUAUCCGCGGGCGCGGCUAUUCGAAUAGAUCAUAACCCUGCAGUGGUGUACUUAUUCACACACGCUCUCGCCACUUAUCGCCAUGUGCACGUCAUGCACCUCGACAACCUUCAAGCGGAAGCCCAGCGAGGGAGUCGACCACGACCGUUAACCACGUUAAUACUUAGUCCAGGUCUAUCGCCUAUCUAAGGGUAACCCGCACGGAAGUCCGGCCGAGGUUUUCUCCAUGGCCCCAAACGAUGUGCGCGGGGUUCCCAAGCCCACCAUUCGGGUGCCACUUGGUACACCGUGCCACUGCCUACCGCAUCAUAGCCCACCCCUAAGGUCAGCGCGACGCACGGCCUCCAGCAUGACUAUAAACACCAGAAACUACUUGCAACUCCUCGACCGAGUACUAAGCGAUUAAUAAGUCGAGAGGGUCAAUUAAGUAUCCCAACGUGUGGUAGUAUCUAGUCUUGGAUUACAUACACGGAACUCAGUUCCUAAGGACGGUUCCAAUGAAACAACCCGCCAUGUACUCCUACAUAGCCUUUCACCGAUACCUUUACCAAAUCAGGUUCAACCACACAACCUUUACUUACUGAACACAUUCUCACAAUUCUGUUCAUCACCCAGAUGACAGACCAUACACAACUCUAAGCAUAGCAUGCAUAGAAGGAUAAGGCACAUCAUGGCUCAAGCAUCUACCAGGUAUGCUAGGUUGCAAGGUUCGGCUAUUUACUGUGA